GAGUAGAAUGCAACAUCGUGAACUUGAUCCUGCAUGUUCUGGAAUGCCUGAGAGGGAUGAGGGUUGUGAGCAUAGCUUCAGUGGAUGCUCGUGCAUACUCCCCCAGAUGAGCAAAUCUGAAGUUACAGAUUAAGAGUUACGAUUGGAACGAGGCGCUCUUCCAGGAAGCUAUGAGCAGGGCGAUUGAUGGCGUGGACGCAACUACUGAAACCCUUUUGGUGGCGUAGUUUAUAGGUUGCCUAAUUGGAUGUAUAAAUAUUGUGUGAGGU